rnacentral:lncRNA from 1 species
GCUGCGGCAGGAGAGCGCGGGGCCGCGGGGGCGGCGGGGGAGGCCCUCGAUCCCCGGACCUAGACCAAAUCCCUGCGCGAGGUGCCCGCCGCCGUGACCUCGGGGCCCGGCCUCCGCCCGCUCGUCGCCCGCCCCGCCCCCAGGCCUGGCCCCGCGGGCGCCCCCCCGGCCCCUCCCCCCCCCCCCCCCGGCCGCGCGCGCUCGGCUCUGCCCUGCCCCGGGGGCUCGGGCCCAGGUGGGUCCGGACCGUGGCCCUGAGCGGCGCCCCAGCCCCCUGCGGAAGGGCCCCAAAGCCGAAGGAGCGGUUCGUCCCGGACACGGAAUUUGGAAUCGAGGAGCCCCUCGCAGUGACGGGGAGAAGAGCAGAGCCGGCCCGUCUGCCCCCCCCCCCCCGCCCCCGGGGUGUCUCCGGGAUGCGGAGGGUCACUCCGGGCGGCCUGGGCCUGGGACUGGCAACGCGGGCCUCGCAAUCUGCACCUUAAAGCCCGGCCGGGGCGCCCGCGGGAUGAGCUCGCGAGGCGCUGGUCCCCGCCACGCCCGACGCUGCAGAAAGCCCGACAGGCGAGGACAGCCUGGACCGAGGGCUGAGAUGGACCCAGGGGCGGAGGAGCUCCGGGGGAGCCGAAGCUAAAAACCGCUUCCAGGAAACUGAAACCUCUAGCGGAGGUUGUGCUGCUUCCUCUUCCUCGGCCUUUACCCCUGCCCUUUGCCCUAGGUCAUUUUCAUCCCUUCCAGUUUCCAGGGUUCAAGGAUUCCUAUCCCGGCAGCAGCUCCAGGGGUGCUGUGAUGCCAGGCUGGGCAGGAUCGGAUUGGCCCAUGUGACAUUUCUUCCCCCACUGUCCCCUCAAUGCCAGACACACUGUAGUUUAGACCCUUUCCAUGUGAGAGAGGGCCCCGGGGCCAUAGCCCUGGACCAAGAGGUCGGGAGGCCCUCUAGACUCCGCACAAAGGUCAAAAUAGGGAUGGGCCGGAAGAGAAAACGGAGGCAUCGUGUUCUGCUGAUUGCCAGGGAGGCUUCGCUCGUCUCCCUUGCUCCCAUGCAGCCGUUACCUGGAUUUCCCAGCUGCUGACCAGCAGCAAACCUGGGCCCAUCUUGCACAGUGGUGCAAGGAGAGCUUCGAAAGGAAGGGCUGACUGACCCCUGCAUCCUGUCCAUUGUCGUAGGUGAAGUAUCAGUACAUCACGGCCACUCGUGUGUGUGUGUGUGUGUGUGUGUGCAUGUGCGUGUGCAUGUGUGUGUGGCCCAUCCAAGUAAGAACGACUUGUACACUUCAAAUGAUUGGGGCAAAUGUCAUGGGGCACUUGGGUGGCUCAGUCGGUUAGGCGUCUGACUCUUGAUUUUGGCUUGGGUCAUGAUCUCAGGGUCGCGAGAUGUGAGAUGGAGCCCUGUGCCCAUCUCUGCGUUAGGCGUGGAGCCUGCUUAAGACUCCCUUCCCCUCUGCCCCUCUACCCCUCGCCCUCUCUAAAAUAAAUAAAUAAAAAUGGUGGAAAAACA